rnacentral:rRNA from 1 species
CCCCACUUCAAUACUUUGGAGAUACCAGAUUCCAUCUGAUCUAGGAUGCUAAUAAGGGUCAGGUUACUACUUAGAUGGGAGACCACUAAUGAAGACCAGAUGCUGUAGGCU